UACGGAGGGCGCGAGCGUUGUCCGGAAUCACUGGGCGUAAAGGGCUCGUAGGCGGUUUGUCGCGUCGGGAGUGAAAACCAGGUGCUUAACACCUGGCUUGCUUUCGAUACGGGCAGACUAGAGGUAUUCAGGGGAGAACGGAAUUCCUGGUGUAGCGGUGAAAUGCGCAGAUAUCAGGAGGAACACCGGUGGCGAAGGCGGUUCUCUGGGAAUGACCUGACGCUGAGGAGCGAAAGUGUGGGGAGCGAACAGG
rnacentral:rRNA from 1 species